GCCCCUUCUUAGCCCUUGCCUCUAGGCUCGGGCUGGACCCUGAUGCGGUUCGAGUGCCCCAAGCACGCCCACUCGGCUGCUAUGGAUCACUCGUUGCCGCUCGUGCAUUCGGAUGCGGAACGCUAAGCGAUGCCGGGGCGCGCCCAGCAGCCCCCGCAUGACCCUAAACAACGAGCGAAACUUCGCUCCCCGAGAAUGACCACCGCGCGCGCUCGCUCUUCCAUCCAACCGUUCGCUCGGCGAUGGGAUCUAGCGCGCCGCGGUGCCUUCCUUGGCCGCUACCUGGUUG
rnacentral:misc_RNA from 1 species